rnacentral:tRNA from 1 species
UGCGGGGUAGCGCAGCGGUUGGCGCGGCUGGCUCAUAACCAGCAGGUCCGUGGUUCGACUCCACGUCCCGCAA